rnacentral:rRNA from 1 species
GACGUAGGGCGCGAGCGUUGUCCGGAUUUAUUGGGCGUAAAGAGCUCGUAGGCGGCUUGUCGCGUCGACUGUGAAAUCCCGCGGCUCAACUGCGGGUCUGCAGUCGAUACGGGCAGGCUAGAGUUCGGUAGGGGGAGACUGGAAUUCCUGGUGUAGCGGUGAAAUGCGCAGAUAUCAGGAGGAACACCGGUGGCGAAGGCGGAUCUCUGGGCCAUUACUGACGCUGAGGAGCGAAAGCGUGGGGGAGCGAACAGG